CAAAAAAAGACCGUGAUGAUCUCCUGGGAGCCCCCGUGUCUACGGAAGGGCUCUUUGGAUCGAUUUCCUUGGUCACAUGGAUGAGGAGAAGUCGCAGCUUGGCCGUAUGCUGCUUCUUGCUCAUCCUCAGAGGAGAGAACACUAAAAACACACUUUUAUGGGGAAUGGAACCUCAGCUGUGUACUGACAGAGGGGAUGGACAGG